rnacentral:sRNA from 1 species
GUCACAUUCGGCGAAGUUGACGAAUGACACCUUUAACCGUUGCAC